UACGUAGGGUCCGAGCGUUGUCCGGAAUACUGGGCGUAAAGAGCUCGUAGGUGGUUUGUCGCGUUGUUCGUGAAAACUCACAGCUCAACUGUGGGCGUGCGGGCGAUACGGGCAGACUUGAGUACUGCAGGGGGAGACUGGAAUUCCUGGUGUAGCGGUGGAAUGCGCAGAUAUCAGGAGGAACACCGGUGGCGAAGGCGGGUCUCUGGGCAGUAACUGACGCUGGAGGAGCGAAAGCCGUGGGGAGCGAACAGG
rnacentral:rRNA from 1 species